GCUAAGUAUGGAACAAGUGGAGUCUUGAACCUGGACCUCUUGGGAAGGGUGGGAAGGACAGAGGGCACUGCAGCUGGAAAAGUGUUUGAGUGAUGGUGGGUGAGUGGGAGGGGGAAGCUCUGGUCUGCUGAGGUCAGAUUCUUACUUCAGGGCAACAAUUUUGAAUCAGAAAGGGAGAACCGAAGGUUUGUUGCCGGGGGCCUUGAAGCAGCUUGAGGCAGUUGGGAUCAACCUGACAAGUUCUCGUAUAUUGUCAAAGGAGCUUGCAGGCAUAGUUGCAGAAGAUGGCUGUGGGAGUAUCACGCCAAAUAGAAAUCCAGAAAACGGUAGAGCCAAGAAAACACAAAGUUUGGGAUGACAGCAUAGGGAAAAUUGAUCCAUGACAAAUUUCUUCAGAGAACUUUGGUGACUGCCACUCAUAUAGGUAUGGUCUUCAGCAGAAGCCACCUCUUCCACCAGCAGCCCACAGCUCACUGGUGAUAGAUGCUGUUUUCUAGAAGCUGGCCCAUCUACCAUCUAAACCCAGCAGUUCUCAGGAGCCUAGACCCAACCAACUAUGGCCCACGGUCCACCAGAGCUUCAGCAAGAGAAAAGUACUCGUGGCUCAGUCAUUUUCUCUAGCCACCUAAUCUCAUCUUACAUAAAAAUUGUAGAGUGGUCCCCCCCUGCUUUUUAAAAAUUAUUAUAGAGGUGUAGAUUAUACCAUUCUUUUUAAAAACUUUCUCUCUAAAGCAGCAAGUUACUACAAAUUGUGAAUCCUGAGUGGCCUGGCCUAAGGAAGCCAGACAAAGGGCAUUUAAUACAUGUUUUUUAGAAUGCCCUAGAGAAUUGAUAUGGCAUAGACCAAUAAAAUUGCUUUUUUUCUUCCUCUCACUCGAAUCAGCUAAUUCAAUUUAACAGAUAUUUAUUGACCACUGGGUAUGCCUGGGGUUUCUAAUCUGAGAAAAGGGACAACACAGCAACAGAAGUUACU
rnacentral:lncRNA from 1 species